rnacentral:lncRNA from 1 species
UCUGUUCAGCUAGGUUAUCAUUGACCAUAUGGGUUCACAAUGGGAGUAGAGCCCUCCUAGGCUGUCAGGCAGCAGUGGAUAGUUGGAAGCAGAGGGCUGGGAGAAGAGAGAAAGAAGGUGCCUCAGUGGAGGCAAAGUGACUGCUUGGAGCAAAAAAGGAAUCAUAGUUCAGGGAGGCCAGGAAGCCCUCCACAGAGAAGGAAAUGGCAAACCACUCCAGGAUAUUUGCCAAGAAAAACCCAUGGACAGUGUGUUGCCCUACUAUGGUCCAUGGAUCACCAAGAACAUCUGAACAACAACAAAUGAUGCCAGGGACUGGGCUAAGUGUUGUCCAGUUAUUAUUUCAUUGGAUCCUCAUGACCACUUUGGGAGGCAGACGCUCUCAUUAUCCCCCUUUUACAAUUGAGGAAAUUGAGAACUGUCUCACAUCCUGAAAGCCUAAGGAUAUGACUGACUUCUGUAGUAACUUUUAGACACCAUGCAGUGAGACAACAUGGCCUUUUGGCAAACUCUGGUACUAGAUAGUAUCCCAAAGAAUGUUUUAUAGAAAGCAGUAAUCCAACACUCAGUAUGGAUUCCCAUAAGACUCUACUUCUCACCAGAUGCUAAAGUCCUAAUGCUUACUAUAGCAGAGGAAAAAAAAGAUGCACAUACCUCCAACUCUAAUGGAUGACCACAUUACUUUGAAAUAUUGUGUCAUGCAAAGAUCAUAAAAUCGUUGAUGUAGAACUGUAAGAAAUCUUUAAGGUCAGCUCACUGAUUUCCUUCAUUUUGUCCAAGACGGGGAAAGAAGUCAAUGCCCAGAGAAACUAUUCUAGCUCACACAAGGAGGAAGCAGAAGAACCUCUUAAACUCCCUGAGCUGCAGAAAUCCUUUUCAAUUUUAAAGUGCUGUGAUUUAGUCAUGAGAUCAGUGAAUAACUUCAUAGGCUAUUUUUGAAACAUUUUAACUUGGUCUUUCAGGAUAAAUAUUGCUGAAAUUGGCAGCCUAAAUAAGCAAGUGUUCAUUCUGUGUAUCUUUUGUCAACUUAAUUUCAAUGAUUGAUUGUAUUACAUAUAUGUUCAUCAAGAGAUUCCAAUAUUUUUAUUAUCAAGAAGCAAUUUUAUUCUAUUAAGGAGUAAUUUGCGUGCUAUGUUCACAUUGAAAUGUGUAUCUUUAUAACCAUAAAAAUAUCAAAAGCAUUCUAAUGAAUAUAAAUGUAUUUGGCUAUUAUUUGUUCACCUCUUAAUAAUUGGGACUUCCCUUCCCUUAACAAUAUCCACAUAUAAACAAACAUAUUUCUUAUACUUAGUUUCUAUGCAAAUAUAUUUUUUCUCAUUCUAGUAUGAAGUUAUUUGGAAAGAAGAAAAGGCAUAAUAAAACUAGAAUGUGACCUGUCUUGAAGUGGAAA